AACGCGAAGAACCUUACCAGGUCUUGACAUCCGGCUAACGAAGUAGAGAUACAUCAGGUGCCCUUCGGGGAAAGCCGAGACAGGUGGUGCAUGGUUGUCGUCAGCUCGUGUCGUGAGAUGUUGGGUUAAGUCCCGCAACGAGCGCAACCCUUGCUGUUAGUUGCUACGCAAGAGCACUCUAACAGGACUGCCGUUGACAAAACGGAGGAAGGUGGGGACGACGUCAAAUCAUCAUGCCCCUUAUGACCUGGGCUACACACGUACUACAAUGGCCGCAAACAAAGGGAAGCAAGACUGUGAAGUGGAGCGAAACCCGAAAAGCGGUCCCAGUUCGGAUUGCAGGCUGCAACCCGCCUGCAUGAAGUCGGAAUUGCUAGUAAUCGCGGAUCAGCAUGCCGCGGUGAAUACGUUCCCGGGUCUUGUACACA
rnacentral:rRNA from 1 species